rfam:Listeriaceae bacterium FSL A5-0281 contig000023, whole genome shotgun sequence.
CAGUCCUUUAACAUAGUCCAGAGAGGCUAAGAAGGUAACGUGAUUUGGGGAUUUUUGUGCCCAAUUUGAAUCUAUACGUCUACCCUUUGCCUUCUAUUACUGGCAGAGGGUUUUUAUU